UACGGGGGGGGCAAGCGUUGUUCGGAAUUACUGGGCGUAAAGGGCGCGUAGGCGGCCUACUAAGUCGGACGUGAAAUCCCUCGGCUCAACCGAGGAACUGCGUCCGAUACUGGUGGGCUUGAAUCCGGGAGAGGGAUGUGGAAUUCCAGGUGUAGCGGUGAAAUGCGUAGAUAUCUGGAAGAACACCCGUGGCGAAAGCGGCUCUCUGGAACGGUACUGACGCUGAGACGCGAAAGCGUGGGGAGCGAACAGG
rnacentral:rRNA from 1 species